AGGAUGUUGGCUGGGGUAGGUUUAGCAGGCAUGUGUCUUGAAAACACUAUUUUCACAGUGUGUUGCGAUUAAAACUAGUAGCUUGAGUUGAUCGCAUACCGCAGUUCCAAACACACAAUUAGACGGCAGUUACAGAACUUGGAGUGCAGGGCUAAUGGAUGACAUUUUAGUGGGGAAUUAUCCUGGGAGUUGUUGAGACUUUUGUAGUAUUUGACAUGCGAACAGAACAGAACAAAUGUUCUGUUUUUCUUGGUUUCAUCUUUUCAAAGGAACCAAAAUGUAUUUAUUUAUUUACCUUAUAUCCUGAUUUAUUUAAUUUUAUCAUGUACCCUGCUCUAACUUAUCUACCAAAAGCCACACCUACAUUUGGCUGGCUUGAUGGAGCAAAAUCUGGCUGCUGCUGCCUGCUGUUGUGUUGGGUAAUUAGAUUUAGGAGGGAAAAGUGCUGGUGAGGUUGUCAGGUUGUAGAUGAUUUUUUAUAUUGUCUUUAAAGCUCAAAGACCAGAUGAGAUCUAUACAAGUUUUUACGACUCCUGAACCACCGAUGAGUUGGCAAUAUUUUUUAAAAUAUUUCUAUGAUAAAUGUUAUAUGGCAUUAACUCUUCUCACUUCCAAAAUCACCUUAGAUGUACACAUCUGAAAACAAACACAAUUUUUGUGCCGUCCGGAUGUGUACUACAAAAAUACAGUUUUUCUUAGGUCCGAAAAUAUGCUUCCAGAGGUUUAAUUAUAAAUGUGGAGAGUGGUUGAACUUGUUUUCUUAUGAUAAUAUAGUACUAUAAGACUUUCUUAUGAUAACCCUGCAUGUUAUUGUAUGGAUCAUUUACAACCGUUACACAGUGCUGAGACAUGCAGAACAGUCAGAUUUAAAGAGAGUCCCUCAAUAUUUCAGUUUAGUCAAUAAAUGUAAUGUGAAAUAUGAUUGGAAUAAACAAUUCAUUGCCACAAGUUUGAAAGGUAUGGCGGGACUCUGCAGUUUAUUCCCCUCUGCACUUGGUUGGGAAUAUGCUGAACAGAACCAGACUUUGUAUAAAUAUAUACGUUAAAUUACACCAGAGGUCCUUUAAUUAAAUAACUUAAAGAACUUCUGAUGUAAUUUUGCCAAAUAUAUAUGAUAUGUUCACAAAAUUCAAGACUUUACUCAGUAUUAUGUUUUUUUGGUAUGAAGUCUUAUGGUACUAUAUUACGAAAGAUGAGACAUACAAUAUAGGUCUAGAUUUAUAAAUAGAUUGGACUAAGUUGAGCUAUUACAAAGUUUAAUUUUGAUUUAUUUGGCAUGGACUAUCCCACUGCUAAGAACCACAGGUAGUUGCACCCUGUUCUGAUAUUAAUGGCAGUCCUUGUUAAGUAGGUUUGCAUUUACUCCUGCCUUGACCGCUGCACACCAAGUUUGAAAUGAGAAGCAAGGAAAUGAAAUAUUUACUGCAUUUCAGACACUUGCUAAAUUUAUACUCCACAGUGACAAAACUAUGGACACAUGUCUUAGACACUCACGAAAAUGCAAAAUAUAGAAUUAAUUUUUUUGGUUAUUUUUUAAAUAAUUAAAAGAAAUUUCAUCAAAAUAAUAAUUAAAAUAAUAAAAUGUAUAAUUAAUAUUUUGUGAGUGUACCUAUAAUUUUAUGUUUGAUCUUGUGACCAUAUAAGAAUAAUCCAAUAGAUAUUCAAAAUAGUCGAUAAAUGAAAGAAUGAUAAUAUUUUUAUAAACUUUCUCUUUGACGGAAUGAAAGAAAUCUUUAUCAAUUCAUAGUUAUCACAAGUAUGAGCAAUGCACCUAUAUUGAAAAUGACACUUAUGUUGGAGUAUAUUUUUAUCUCUUCCUCCAUUUGUUCAAAUCCCGCUACGACAUAGUGCAGAUAUAUAGUCGCUAUUUACCAACACUGACAUAGUAAACAUCAGAAUGGUUGGAGAGCUUGUAGAAGCCAGGAAACUCAAAUCUGGCGCCAAUUAUUAGCCCUAAAGAAGAAACAAUGUUAAAACCAAAUUCAUUGCAAUUGAAACUUGUUAACAGUCAAGAAUCCCAUCUCAUCACCUCUACCAUUUAUAAGUUGCAUUGAAAACUAAGAUUUCCGGGAUGAAUAAAGAACCUUGACCCUUACUGUAGAUUGAAAGAAACUUAGACAUCAAUGAAAGACUGACAACAUGUUAAGCCAAUUUUACGGCACGAAAUGAAGAAAAAUUGAUUUUCUUAUUCAAAUUGAUAAGCAUAUAAGCAUCUUCUAACGUGACACCAACAACAAUAUUUAAACUAGGAGCUUGAGACAGAUGGGAGAGUCACCUGGUGACUGAUUACAACGAUACUGACACAUAGAAUCAUCUUUCCCAAUGAUUUUCCGACACGAGUGGGAUCAGCUAAGUUUUUCAGGUGUGUAAAGGCAUGAAACAAGGGGGAUGUUUGGGUUACUUAAGCCUUGGUGGGGUCAGACUGGUCUCAAGCUCCAAGAACUUUCAUCGAAGAUGAGGUGGAGUGGUUGCAGAGGGGAAGAAAAUGAGAUGACAGAUGUGUGAGAUUAAUACACAUUAGUAUAUGUUAAAUAGGAACAACACUGAUAGUGCUUACAGAACUUUACCUAAGUUUUGCCUCAAACUUCACAUUGAAUUAAAACUAUUAAUAUGGACUACAACACAUUACUGCUCCAUCAUAGUCAUCAACUAUUGGUUAUGAUCAGAUCAUUAUUUCUUUCUUGUUUGGGUUUCUUGUACCUUGUUGCACCAUAACAUCAUCUAUCUUAUAUCUAUUAAAAGGAGAAAGCUUUGUUAUGAUAACUAUUUCUCUCUAGUGUCUAUCCAGCCUUUAUUUGAAAGAAGAAAUAUAUAAACUGAAAUUGCAAGUUUUCAAAAAAGAUGGUUUUUGUCAUUUCUCUUCUAACACUGAAUGCACUUCUUUCUUUCUUUUGACUGGGGAUUUAUUAUGGUGGCUUUUACUUGACUUUGAUCAUCAAGAAUAGUCCCUUAUUAGGUAGUAUGUCUUCAUGUCUGAUGUUAUGGCAGUAUUGUAUUUGCUCCUUUAUGAAAGUGUUGAUUGGAUUCAAAUCUCAUUUAAUGUGGAGUAGACACGCCUAUAUAAGAAUGCAAAUUGUAUAUUUUGGGGACUUUGGCAGGUUAAUAUAUGAAACUUAUAACUCUUUAAUAUUUUUCCUUAAUUUUUUUAUUCAAUGCAGAGGCAUGUGGUUGAUUUUUACAUCUCUGACUUCCAAUCUGGACUGAGAGCAUUGGUUAAAACAGGCUUUGGUGCAAGGGUGACUCCUUAUGUUGAUGAUUCCGUUGUAAUUGAUGUUAAUCCAGAGAAUAAAGAAAUGUCCCCCGAUUUCCUUCGAUGGUUGGGGAAGAGAAACCUUUCUAGUGAUGAUCGUAUCAUGCAGUUAAAAGAAGGGUAUACAGUACUUUCUUUAUCUUGUUUAAAUAAAAAAUACACGAAGAAAAUGUAGUUCUUAUGAAAGUGGCGGCUACGAUGUUUUUGUAGGUACAUAAAAGAAGGUAGCACGGUUAGCGUAAUGGGAGUUGUUCAUAGAAAUGACAAUGUACUUAUGAUUGUGCCUCCACCUGAGCCUUUGACGACCGGAUGCCAAUGAAGGUAUUGUUUUGAGAUGCGAAGAUACAUCAAAGAUGUGAUUCCAGUGUAGUUAUCUUCCUAUCCCAUGAGUGAGUGAGUCUCUCUAGGUUCUAUUCUUCUUUGAGAAAACAAAUUGAUGGUGGUGGUGGUGGUGGUGGUGGUGGUGGGUGGGUGGUGGUUGUUUGUAUUUUGUAAGCAUAUAUGUGUUGUUGGUAAGUCAGUGUGAUCUUGCUGCCAUUUACAUCCGUGAAUUUCCUUUUGUUUCAUACUCAACUCCUCUUUAGUUUGUUGUAUAGCUAAUGACAAUUCUUAUUCGUUUAUUUUUCCUUUGAGAAUUUCAAACUUUUUGAAUGGAUAUUAUUUCUUAUAGUGACAAGUAAGUAAUGUAUAUUCAUUUGAUCUUGCUGUUUCGAUCUGUUGAUUAAUGGAAUAUAUCAUGCACCAUUUUUUAUUUUUUUUUAUUUUGUAUCAUCAUCUGAACCAAUUCUUUUUUCUGGUUAUCUUGUUAAUUAAUACAUUUGUUUAUUUAUUGGUGAAUCCGUUUAAUAUUUGGUUUUACCUUUUAUUUUCCUCCGUUCAAAACUGAAUGUUAUUAAAGAGGAAUACCAUCAACUUCUAAAGGCGUAAUUUUCCUUAACAUUCUUAUCUUAAGAUACACUGUUCCAUCUAAACCAAACUUUCUUGUCACCAUCAACUUCUAAAGGCAAAAUGGGUUCAUUCAUCCAAAUUUUCUCCUUUCUGUUUUGGUUUGCCAUUGUCUCAUCUCAUGCACUGUUUCAACUCCAAACGCUUUCUUCAUCAUUAUGACUCCAUGUUUGGUCCCUUAAACUGGUUCAAUAUCAUUGUCUUUGCUGGUCCUCACCACCCUUAUGGGAGUGAUCUGUUAGAUUCAUGUGAAAAGAAGCACCAUAUCAUGUUACUAGUUAUUGGAAAAAUCUCAUCCAUUAAUUUUUUUUAUUGUCAUAUCUAAUGGUUUUGCAACGUAAUCAUUCUAAAUUAAGUACCACUUUUUCUUUUGGUAAGAAAUUAGGCACCACUCUUAAAGAUUUAUUUAGAGAUAAACUAAUCGAAUUACACAUAGUUUAAUUAGAGCUUUUCUUCUCAUAACUAGUCCCAUGUUUAUCAUAUUGAUUGAUACUGUGACAUGUAAUAGGCUUCUAUGACAUGUGCCUUCCUUUAAUAAUAUGUAAAUUUUUUAAUCAAUAAUAAAGAGACGGUUCCAGGCUGAUUCAUCAUAUUAUUACUAUAAUAUAUAAUAUAUAGGGUUAAAUAUGUUUUUGUCCCUAUAAAUAUAACAACUUUUCGUUUUAGCCCCUCUAAAAUUUUCCUUCAAGUUUUAGUUCCUAUAAAAUUUUCAAUCUUUAUUUUUGGUCCCCCGUUUAAAGUAAACUCAUAUGUAGAAUUCAUAUUUUUAAAUAAAAUUUUGCAGAAAAAUGUAUAAUAUUAUAAGUAUCUCUCCCAAAAAAAAUUAGAAUUUUUUACCAAAACAUGAAUUAAAUAUGAAUUUUUAUAUGUUUGGAGGUAAAAAAUUCAUAUUUAAUUCCUGAUUUGUUAAAAAUUCUAAUUUUUUUGGGAGUGAUUUUUACAAUAUUCCAUACAUUUCUGCACAAUUUCAUUAAAAAAUACAAAAUUUUACUUAAAAAUAGGGACGAAAAGUAGUGAUUGAAAAUUUUAUAGGGACUAAAACUUGAAGGAAAAUUUUAGGGAAACUAAAACGAAAAUUUAGUAUAUUUAUAGGGACCAAAAACAUAUUUUAACCGUAAUAUAUAAUAUAUUGAAGGUAGAUAGAAAGAUAAAGACCAUGUUGUGUUGUGUGUGUGCACCUAUAAACAUUACACAGUAGAGAAAUGGGUGAAGUGAAACGUGUAGAGUGAACAAGGGUGAGUAAGUAAUACAAAAAGGCCACGUGGUGCAAGUGACUAACGUGUCCACAAGCCAACAAUGGUACCCUACCGUACUUAACAACAUUACUAAUGACUUUGUUUUGAAUGAGAAUAAUAUUAUGCUAUACUCUAUGGAUAAAAAGCUUGGUGCAAGUGGUGUGGUUUUGGUGUUAGUAUUCUUCAGCUUCACUAUAGCUAAUGUGAAUGGAGAUUCAGUUAAUGAUGAAGAUCAGAGUAAGAAAUCAGCUUUGUGGGUAUGGCAGAGACUAAGAAAUGCAUAUUCUAUGUAUUCAUCAGUUUUCCCAACAAAUAUUGGACAAUAUUGGCACAUGGUUAAGGCCAUUGUCAAUCACACUUAUGCUUAUUUCUUCCCUCCAAAUCUAGAGUAAGCUACUAACCUUCUCCAUCUCAAUAUAUUUAUUUAUUUAUUUAUUUAGUAUUCUCAUUUCAACCUUGUGCUUUUAUUUUCAUAGCAUAUUCUUUGUUACAUACCAUGCACAAGACACACAAAUACUAGCUACUUCAUUCAUUAAUAAUUUGUUUUUAUAAGUUUUAGGAGAGGAGAAGAGGGUGAAGCAGUGGUAGAUAACAAUGGAGCAGGGGAUAAGGUGAAAGAAGCUUUAGCCAAAAGCCUAGGAACAAGCAAAGCAACGUUGGAGGAUGCUGCAAAAUCAGCAGCAGAUAAGGUCAAGAGGAGUUUGUCUGAUGAUAGGGAAAAGAAACAUCCAAAAGAGCUCUAAUUCUAUGAUGUAUAAGAAGAACUAAUUAAGAUGUUGUAUUUGUUUAAUGUUAUUAUAUGCAUAUCUUACUUAAGAAGCAGGAUAUCUUGUGUAAAGCUUCAAUCAUUUGUAGGCUUGAAUGAUCAAAUGAGGUCUACACACAUGAAUUGCAGUUUUGGAUGUUAAAUUAAGUGUAUUUUUGCUUUAGAAUUUGAGUGAAUUGAUUCUAACGACCCGAAGCUAAAGUUUUAUUUUAAAAUCGAUGAUACAAUCAAAAACUUUAAUUUUUUACUUCUAGAAUAAAUUUUAGUUCAAAGUGUUAUUAUAAGUCCAAUUGAGGGGAUCUUGGAACUGUUGGAAAGAUUACAAAAUUAUAUCAUAACAAAUUUAACUAUCUCUUUCUAGAGCGAAACUUAAUAGUAUCAGAAAUAAAGAAUUGACGAAAUAACAAUAACCAUUGAAAACUCCACACACAUAAACGGACGAGUCAAGGAUUUGAACCUCAUUCAGGUUGUCAAAUCUAACAAUUUUAGCAUGCAUUUUUACCACUUGAGUUAUGAUUUGUAUAUGAUAUCAAUAAUUUUAUUUUAUAAUAUAGUGAUAAAAUAAAAUAUAAUAAAAGCAAAACAUUGAAUUAUUGGUACUAAAUGUUAUAGUAGCAGCGUUAGUUAGUGCAGUUAGAGAUUGAGGAAAGUGUAUGUGUGUGUGUAUAUAUCAAAUGAUUGAGUAAGAAUCGUAUUUUAUUUAUUUUAUUUAUAGUCGACGUUAAGGCGUAGCUAGUAAGAAGAAGAAGAUCGAAAAUGGUGGAAUCGAAGAAGAUCGAAACGGUACAUUCAUCACUCGUCACCUAUGCUUCUAUGAUAUCUCUUCACACACUUGCUCCUCCUUUCGUCAAUCUACUGUAAGUCUACUUACUUAAUUAAUUAAUAAUUUCAAACAAAUUAGUAGAUCUAAUUAAUAAUUGAAUUGAAGAUGGUAUACAAUGAUGAAGGCUAUGGAUGGAUCAAUUUUGAAGACAUCUGAUUAUUUGAACAAUAAUGGUUUACAAGGUUUUCUUAAUCUAUGGCCUAAACCAACACUUCUCUCUUUCUAAAUUAUCGCUGUUUAUGAUGCAUUUGAAGCUUUACUUCAGCUUCUUCUUCCUGGAAACUGUUUCUCGAGGAUAGAUGAGAUCAAAGAACAUAAAUCUUUCAUUAUUCUUAAGCAUUGACCACAUGUGGAAGAAAUUGAUUUAGUUGUUAUGAUUAAGUUUCGGUAUGUUAACGUGUUUUAUUUAUGAAAUUUCUUUGUAUAUUGAUAAUGUGUUUUUUUAAGGAUGUUAAUGUGUACUUGACUCUUAAAACAUUGAUGAAGAAUGUACCUGUAACACUCCGUUUUUCCAGCAUAAAAAUUUCAUAAAUAAAUCAGAGUAUUUCAACGGAAUGUCACACUUCUUUUCAUAAAAUCAUAAAGUGAAUAAAUAACUAUUUAUCCUUCAAAAAUCCAACAACAUAAUAUUUAAUACUUCGCAGCGGAAUUUAUUCAACUUUUAAAACAAUCUUUGGCACGAAGGCCUCAACGUAAAAUGUCAUAAAAUUAUUCCAACAACAUAAUCAUGGACUUCAUAAAAUAAUACGUAAGGAAUAGAAAAGCAAUAACAAAGUUCUCAUCCCGUUACGUAUCAGAGCACCUAAGACACAAGUGAGAGAAUCCACUCACGACCGCGACUAAUCUUGGUUACCUGCAAGUUACCCACUAAUACAUGCAACAUUUCCAAGCAGAACGGGUGAGAUUUCUCAAACAAUAAUAAUAAGCAUAUAAUUCAUCAAUUACAUUUAACACCAUAGACAUCAUCAAUUCACCCUAAUAAUAAUUCUUCAUAAAACAUCUCAUUAGCAACUCAUAAAUAGAAGACAACUUAACAACUUAACAUCUCAUGUAUAACCAAUUAUCAACAACGUAAACAUCAUUAAUUCAUAAUAAUAAUUCUUCAUCAAACAUUCAUUAGCAACUCAUGAAUGAAAGACAAUUUAUCAACUUAACAUAAACAUCAUCAAUCAUAUUUAACAACUCAUAGACAACAUCAUGUAAUCAUCAUAACAACAGUCAUAAUCAACGUCAUGUAACAUCAUAAUCAACAUCAUAUAAUCAUCAUCACAACAUUAUAAUCAACAUCAUAAACAACAUCGUAAUCAAUAUCAUAAACAACAUCAUUAUCAAUGUCAUAAACAACAUAACAUCGUAAUCAAUAUCAUAAACAACAUUCUAUCAACAUUAUAAUCAACAUCAUAAACAACAUAACAACAUCGUAAUCAAUAUCAUAAACAACAUCAUAACAACAUCAUUAUCAACAUCAUAAACAGCAUAAACAACAUAACAACGUCGUAAUCAAUAUCAUAAACAACAUCAUAACAACAUCAUUAUCAACAUCAUAAACAACAUAACAACCUCGUAAUCAAUACCAACAUAUAACAUAACAAAAUAUCACUCAUCAAAAUAAAUCGACUAAAUUAUAAAAAGACAUCUAAAUUCAAUAAAAUAAAUAAAUAAUAAAAUAGGGCGUUACAGUACCAACUCAUAACAAAUUUGACUAUCUCUUUCUAUUCUAAAAUUUGAGCGAAACUUAUAGUAUCAGAAAUAAAGAAUUGACGAAAUAACAAUAACCAUUGAAAACUCAACACACAUAAACGGAGGAGUCAAGGAUUUGAACCCCAUUCAGGUUGUCAAAUCUAACAAUUUUAGCAUGCAUUUUUACCACUUGAGUUAUAAUAUAGUAUCAUUAACAGUAAAAAAAAAAAAACAAAAAAAAUCAAAGCAAACAAAGUGAUAAAAUAAAACAUAAUAAAAGCAAAACAUUGAAUUAUUCGUAAUAAAUAUUAUAGUAGUUUUGACUAGGAAUAAGAAGAAAGAAAGUUGUAUAUUCCCUUUGUUUGUUUGUUAAAGAAAGUUAAAAAUGAUUUUUAUUUUACCCAAAAAUAAACAAACAAACAAACAUUCUAUCUAUCUAUCAAAGCACCGUUAGUUAGUGUAGUUAGAGAUUGAGGGAAGUAUAUAUAUAUAUAUCAUAUGAUUGAAAGGAGAAAAUUAACGAAGAAGAUAGGACUUCAUUCGCUAUGAAGCAUUGACACUUAUAUUAACACUUGGACAUCUGUAAUAAUUUGAGAAAAUAAACUAAUUGAAUGUAUUGACAUCUGUCGGAGACACGUGUGGGACACUGGACACACAUUCAUUCAAUAAGUUUCAGUGCUAGGAUUCAUUCAUUCAUUAUUGCUGAUUAAAUUGAUUUUUCAUUUCAUCUUGGAUGUUCUGUGUUGUUUUUGAAAAUUCAAGUAGUAAUAAAUGAAUUGUUUGAACAAAAAUCAGUCAAUAUAUUCGUCCCACAAAGAAAAGAAAAUUGGCAUAGGAGAUCUGAAGAUAUAAUAUUGUUGUCUUCUAGGAAUAAGACUUUGUAUGAUCUUAGUUGUCAAAUAUGGCUGAUGUAUGUAUAUAUAUAUAUAUAUAUAUAUACAUAUGAUAGAACAAGAAGAAAAAAACAUUAGUCAUUGCUAGUCUUCUCAAUUAGUUAUCCUUUUGAAUUUCAAUUUGGAUGUUCUGUGUUGUUUAUGAAAAUUGGCAGAGGAGAUCUCACGACAUAAUAUUGAGUUGAGGUUCUCUCAGAAUUAAACUUGAUAUGAUGUCCUCCUAUGUAGCACUGACACUUCAAAUUGAAGUCGUGUAUGACAACGACACUGGUAAUUACAAACAGAUAUGAUCACUUCUAUUUGAUCAAAAUUUUCCCAGUGUGGCAGUGUCUAUGUGUUGGUGUUGGUACCGUAUCCGUGUCUGUGUCAAUGCUUCAUAGAUAAUGUAUGAUGGAUGGAUAUAUUUGGUAAAUCAAACAAAUAUCAUUAUUCAUUGCUAGUCUCCUCAAUUGGUUAUCCUUUUGAAUUUCAAGGCUUUAUGAAGAUAGGUUUAUAUGCUUUUAUAGGCUAAAAGCCUAAAACAUACUCUAAGAAACUAUGUUCAAAUUAUUAUGUGUUUUAUCUACAAGAAAGUUGUGUCACAUAAUAGGUUUUCCUUACAAAGCAAGAUGGUUUGCUUCUUUUACUUUUUCAAAAACAGUUGACAUGUAAUUUUUGCAUGUAUGUUUCAGGUUUGGGAUAUUCAACCCAACAAUCGUUUAUGAUCAUUUGGGGGAGAUAUAUUCCACACUCAGCUUUGGGAGCUUUAUCUUUUGUAUUUUCUUAUACAUAAAAGUGAGACUGUUGUGAAAUUGAAGAAAUGAUAAGGUAUUUGUUUCCUGUGCAAUUUACAUUGGAUUUUCUGACUCAAGUGUUAUAUUUGAUAGGGUCAUUUGGCACCAUCUUCUACUGAUUCUGGUUCAAGUGGGAACAUAAUCAUCGAUUUUUACUGGGUAAACUAAUCUCUGCUUCUUAAUUUGAUUAAACUGCUCAACAAUUUUUUUGUCUUAUCCAUUUAUUUGCAUUGAAAAUUGACAUUGAUUUAAGAAAGAGAAUGUGAACGAUGGAAAAAAUUAAAAUAAAACUGAGUGAUAGCAUGAAAAAUCUCUCUUGUCUGAUUACUGGCGUCAUGCCUUUAGAGGAUCAUUGAUGCAACAAACCUUUCUUUAAAAUUACCGCCUCUCAUUCUAAACCAAGUAGGCACCGAUAAUGCAUGGAAAAUUCUUUUAGAAUUACCCAUCCUUUUGUUUAAACUGGUUUGACUGAAAUUCCGUUCAUAAUGCCACUAUGUGAACUUUGAAAUUCUUAUUGUAGAAAUGAAUGUUUCAACGUUUUAUGGCUGUAAUUUUCGUUUUCACCAUAUUACAAGAAAUUGUUUGAUAAACUAAAAUUCAUCCCUUGAGAUGUUUUUUUUUUAUAUGAAUAACAGGCCUAGACAUGUGGAGUUUAAUUCCACCUUUUUUCCAUAAAUGACGGCCUUCUAUCUUUCUGCCAUUCUGCAGGGUAUGGAGCUCUAUCCACGCAUUGGAAAAUAUUUUGACAUAAAAGUUUUCACAAACUGCAGAUUUGGAAUGAUGUCGUGGGCUGUUCUGGCACUUACUUACUGCAUAAAGCAGGUUGAGUCUACGAGGUUUUAUUCUUUGUAUAAAUACUGAAGUCAAGCAUAAUGAUUGUGCUAUCCAGCAUUUAGUUGGAAAACACAGAUGAAUAAUCCUUUAAAUACCUAUUUGUAGUUAGAAACAGUUUGAACGUGGGGACCUUGGUGAUUAGGUGGCCAAUCAAGCUCCAUAGAAGCUGAGGCCAUCUACUUUUGAGUUUUUUUUGUCUUCUGAGAAGAUCUAAUUUAUGAUAGGGAUAUAAAUCAUAUUUAUAUGUGGUUGGACUUCCUUAGUUGUUUUGGAUAUAGUGGCCAGUUGGUAUUGACUUAUUACCUCCAUGAACAUGAUCUUACUAGUAUAUGAAUCAGGAACAUAAAUUUAUUUUGUAAUUUUGUUUUGUGAAAUUUCCAUCCUUUGGUUAACUCUCUAUUGUUCGUAUUCUUGUCUUAAUAGUAUGAAGAAAAUGGGAAGGUAGCUGACUCAAUGCUUGUAAAUACUACAUUAAUGCUGGUGUAUGUUACCAAGUUUUUCUGGUGGGAAGCUGGAUACUGGAACACAAUGGAUAUUGCACACGAUCGAGGUCUGCACAUAUGUUUUAUCUUUGUUUUUGUUGACAUACUUGCUCUUUCCUAUCGUUAUGCUGAUAUGUUCUUUUGGCGUCAUUAGUUUUCAUAGUUUAUUAAGUUUAAGAUCAAGAUCAUAUCUUCCAUAACAACUGUAUUUCAUUUAUCAUGUUUGGAUUAGUUUUCAUAUAUUAUUGAUAAGUUCAUUGUAUACAUUGUAUUUAAACCUCUUUAUCGUGUCCCUAAAUCUUGCAGCUGGAUUUUAUAUUUGUUGGGGCUGUUUGGUUUGGGUUCCAUCAGUGUAUACAUCUCCUGGAAUGUACCUUGUCAACCAUCCAGUGAAUCUUGGCACCCAGGUACCAUCCCUUUCCUGUUUGAGCUGUUGUUUUGUGGUAGUUAUUUAUACCGCAGAGUUUUCCUUAUUUCUAAUAUACUUUUCAAAUUUCAAUGUUUUCCACUUUUUUUUGAAAAUUAGCUUCCUUGUCUUUCAGCUAGUACUCUUUAUUUUAGUGGCUGGCAUUAUGUGCAUAUACAUCAAUUAUGAUUGUGACAGGCAAAGGCAAGAGUUUCGUAGGACAAAUGGAAAAAGCUUGGUCUGGGGAAAAGCUCCAUCAAAGAUAAAGAUGCGUAGAAUAUACUGGGUUACUAUUUUUCAUUUGAAAUGUACUUUCUAUUUUCUAUAUAAUGCAAGUCAGAUUGGGAAUCUUAUUGUCGUGAGACUUGCAUAAGGUAUUCAUAAUGAAAAUGUACUUGCAGAUAGAAGCCUCAUAUACCACUUCUUCCGGGGAAACAAAAAGAAGCCUUCUUUUAACCUCUGGAUGGUAUGUAUCCCUUAAAAACAUUCUAUUUUUGAAGCAUAUGUAAACAUACUUAAACACUAAGUUGUUGUAAUGAUUGAGAGAGCUUAAACUCACUAUUUUUUGGGGUGGAUUCCAGACAUUUGACUUAAAAUGUGUUACAAUCUGAUAUUUAUUGUUUGCCUCCAUAUAGAAAUAUUAUUGCUAACUAUAGGUUAUACAUCCUUUUAAAAAAGAAAACAAUAGUUUAUGCAUUUAAUCUCAUAAUAUAUAUUUGAUUUUUCUAGUUGGCCCAACAUUUUCUUAGAGAACAUGUCUUAUUUCUCAAAGUAACCAGUUCACUUUUUCCGUGCUACCUGCAGGUGGAGAUUAGCUCGUCAUUUUCAUUAUGUACCUGAAAUACUAGCUGCAUUCUUCUGGACAGUCCCAGCUCUUUUCAAUCACGUAAGAAGAGUGUUUAUUUCUCUGUACAGUUGAAAGUUGUAGAGAAUGUUAACCUUAACAACUUUUUUACUAUGCAGUUCUUGCCUUACUUAUACGUGAUAUUUCUUAUUAUCCUUCUUUUUGAUCGAGCAAAAAGGGAUGAUGAUCGAUGCAGAUCCAAGUAAGCAUUAUUUUCUAUCUAUUAGUGUUGCUUAUAGUUCUUGGACAUUUUAUUUUCAAUGUGCAGAGAGAACCACAGAUGCUCUUUUUGUCAUAUCAUUCUAUUCUUACAAACAGUUUGCUUUAUGAGUCAUGGCGGUGCAUGUUUGGAUCGGUUGUGAGUUUGUCAAAAUCAAGUUAGCACCAUGAUUUUGUUGAAGCUUUAAAAUGUAGUUUUUGCUAAACUCAUAAUGCCAACAGCCUAAAUUGUAAUAUAUACGCUUUAUUUUUCAUAUCUAUAGGAAACCAAUGGCCUACCGUUUCAACCAGAUUUGGCCUGUCUCUGAAAUAUACAAUUCAUAAUGCCACUGCAAUGCAAUAAAUAAUUGAAUGGAUAGAUUAUUGAAAACCAAAUUUAUUUAUCAUUGCAUCAACUGAACUUUUUAUUACCAAUGGAUUAGGAAAUUUGAUGGUUCUAGGUCAUUACAAUGUACAUGUAGUUAAAAAUUUCCAUUGCAUGCAGGUAUGGAAAGUACUGGAAACUCUAUUGCGACAGGGUAGCUUACAGAAUUAUUCCAGGAAUAUAUUGAUGAUGACGUGUCUGGAAUCCUAUCCUUCACUUGGUGCCAUGUUUACCUAUUUUUGUUUACUGCCUCUGCCACUUAAGAUGCAAUGGUAAACUUUAGCUGUAAGAAAUAAUUCAGUAAUUAUUGAACCUUAUUUUGUAAGUGAAUGUUAUGAUUUAAAAUGGUUCUCGAGCUGUUUAUCAAUUAUGCUUUAAAGAAAUAGUUUUGUUUCGCUGCCCAUAAAUAGAAAUCUCCCUCAUUUUUCUUGACAUAAUUAUCCGCCAUGGAGUCCUUGUAUAUAUGAGCUAGAAAUUCAGCUGGUUCUGCAUUAAUCCAAUCGGGAAUUAAGAACAAUUAUUGAGUAAACAUUCAAGAAUAUAACGUUUUUAUAUUAUUUUUUAAAUACAAAAAUAAAUAUGAUAUGAUAUUUUGAUCUAAUCAUGAGUGUUGAUUCUAUUGAUUUAUAAAUAGGGUUAUGUUAAACCGGAGCACUGGUUAAAGAUAUAAAAAAAUGAGGUUAUUACUAAAAAAAUAAAACUAUUUUAUUUUUAUUUUCAAUACAAUAACUACUAUCAAUUUUACUUUUAACAAAAAUAUUUUAUAAUGUGAAAAAUAUAUUUUAAUAACUGUAUAGACAAUUUUUUUUACCAGUGUCAUGACUAUUUCAUAAUUUAUUUAGUUUAUAUUUAAUUUAAAUAUUCUUUUUUGGGUGAAAUAAUUGUGAUAUAAUUUUAACUUAUUUAAUAUUUUUUACAAACAUAUAUAUAUAUAUAUUUAAAAUUGAGUUUACAUUAAAACUGUAUAUCUUUAGGUUUUGAAAAUUUAUGAACAUAUUCAAGGGUAACCAAACUAAAAUUAAAAGUUUAUAGAAAAUAGUAUCUUUAUUAUUUUUCUUGACAAAAUAUUAUACUUACUACAAAUAUCAAAAAUUUUGGAAGGCUUAAAUUUAUUUUUGGAGUAUACUUUAUUAUUUUAACUUCUAUUCUCUAUAAAGAGUUUUAUUGUUUACAAUCUUACAAAAUCUACGUAUUUUUUAGUUCUGGUUUUUCUAUUAUAAAUUUAUAAUAGCCCUAAAACAAUUGUUUGUGAUAAAAUUGCUUUAUCUAAUGCGUUCUUUUUUCUAAAAAAUAGACCAAAGCAAUGAUAUUUUGAAACGUAAAAUUAAAGCACAAGAAGAACAAACCAAAACAAUGGCACAACCAAACAAAAAAUUCAAAAGCGGAUAAUCUCUCAAAACAUAGAUCGUAUAAUGAUUAAAAUGAUCCGCUUUUCAUAUUCAUUUUAAUUAUUAUACAAUCUUAUUCCAAGAUAAACAUUUUCGAGAGAUUACAAUUUUUCAUGUACUAAAGCAAUAUAAGGUAGUAUAUUUAUGGGUAUAAAUCAUUAUACAAUCUUAUUUCGAGAUAAACAUUUUCGAAAUAUAGAUUGUAUAAUGAUUAAAAUGAUCACAUAUCUUUCAAAAAAUACUACCUUUAUUUUAUUUUAUAAGCUAUCAUUAACUAAAAUCGUAUCUUCAUAAACUACCUUUGAAAUAAGGUGAUCCAAACGGGCCUAUAUCAACAACUUUUUUAUGAAAUUUAAUAAUUAUUUCUUUAAAAAAUUUAACUAUUAGCUUAAUUUUUUUGAAGGAACUUAAAUUAAACUAUUUUGGUCCCUAUAAAAUAGGGACCUUUCAAGUUUAAUCCUUACUUAAUUUUAAUAGGUUUUUUAGUUCAUACAAAAAAGAAUUACUUCUAAUUUUAGUCCCUGUUACAACAAAGUUUGUUUAAUUAUCCUUAAACUCUUAAAUUUUUGAACGCUAGGAAAUGUUCAUUUACUAAAAUUUAAAAUUUUUUAACAUGAAACGAAUUAAAUAUGAAUUUUUUAAAACGGCAAAAGUUAAAGAUAAAAUUAACAAAAUCUGGACAUAUAAAUCAAAUUUUGUGACAAUUUUUUGCAUAGGAACUUUUAGUAAUGUUCUUAACACGUCUGUAAAAAUUUGUUAAAAAACUCAAGAGUUUAAACAUAAAUUAAACAAAUUUGAAUUGAGGAGGGACUAAUACUGAGUGCAGAAUUUUUUUUUAGGGACUAAAAGAACCAUUAAAAUUAAGUAAUGAUUAAACUUGAAAGGUCCUUAUUUUAUAGGGACCAAAAACAUAUUUAACCUUUUUUAAAAUUAUCUCUUUACUGUUUACUCUUCAAUCUCGUAUUAAAUAAAAUAUUAUUUUUUAUAUUUUUUAUAUUUCACCUCUCAAAAAAGUUUGAAUAACUGAUAAAUUAAAUAUCUCUAUAUAUAUAAUAUACCGAGGAAAACAAGCAAAAAAAAAAAGAGAGAGUGUUAUAUUUGAAGCUUUGCUUGGCACCAUCGUUUUUACGCACGAAGAUCUAUCUUUUCGUCUUUCAUCUUUUCAAGGUUUCGAUUCUCUCCGACUCAAUCAAUCAAAUUCAAAAAAGUUCGUUUUUUUCACUUUGAAUAUUUCUUCUUGCGUUCGUUUCAUAUAUCUAAUUCAACUAAUCGUCUCUUUCAUUCUCUUAAACCUAAUUUUCAGAUCCUUGUUUUUUUUAUGCUCAUUCUCAUGUUAGAGUUUAUGUUAUUAUUACUGCCCCCAAACAUUCAUUUCUUUAGGGUUUGUUUGAUUUGAGCUUAUCUUCUCACCGUUUUGGUGAAUUUAUUAAAAAAUAAAAACAUUACAUGAUUUCAUCAACACCUAGCUUUGCCACCGCCACCCCAUCCUAUACUGGAAAUGACUAUAAUACCCCUGGUUAAUAUUAAUAUUUUCAUAUAAUAUCUUUGAUUAAAAUUAAUAUUUUCAUUUCCUCUUUCCCUUUCUCUUUCAUCUGAGAACACGUUCUGUUUCUUCUCCACCACAAGCAAAUCGACCGGACCGAACCACACCACCGCCGGCGAGCUGCGACUGCGACCACUCUCCCUCCAUCCAUCAUCGGUUCACCAUCGCAUCCUCCUCCAUCUACUGUUUCGAUUCAGCUAUCUUCAUCUCUCUCCACAACAAACCCUAAUUGUUGUAAUUUGUAAGGUAAUGUGAAAUUGAAUGUAAUUUCCUUCAAUUAAUUAUGAUUCUGAUAUGAUGAUUACAUGUUUUUUAUUGAUUGCCAUGAGUUUUCCAUCUUUAGUAACUUAGUUGAUUGCCACUGGUUUCCAAUUCCAUCCGUUGUUCUUUAAUUGAAAUUGAAAUUGAAUGUAAUUGCCUUGAGUUUUCCAUCUGUUGUUAAACCUAGUUAUGUCUUGUUUUGCGGUAUGGAGAUGGUCUGGUAUUCUUUGUUUUAGAGUUUAAACUUUGACACUUAAUAGACUAAAUGCUUUGUAAAGGAAAAUAUUUGAAUAAUUCAUUGUAGAUUUGUAGUGGGAUUGUGUUGUUUCAUAUUAUGCAUAAACAGUAUGUCAAUUUAAAUCAUUCUUCAUUAUAUAUAGUCAAUUUAAAUCAUAUAUUUUAUUUUAUUUUGAUGGCGGGAUGCCGGCCACCCCAAACUUUUUUGUCGGGCUCCGCCACUGCACACCCUAGAUAUUCAUCAACACCUUGCAGGCUUUGUUGUCCUAAAUUCCAGGUUGCUAACUUCUUUUCUACCUCUCUACAUUUAAAUGCUUCCUUGAUUUUUCUUGUGCUUUUGAAUCAAUAUUCAGGAUUUCUAAUCUGGGAUAUGUAAAAAAUGAAAUGAUAGAACAGCCUUUCUGAAUUGAAAGGGGGAUUUAUGUUCAAUUCAAAGCAACAAUCUUUAAGAUCAUAUAUAACAAAACACAAAUUCUUCAAAACUCAUUUCAAUAAUCAUCUUAAAUUGCUCAAAUUCAAUGUUUUUAUCAUCAUAGUUGAAAAGGGUAGGAGCAGGUCUUUGAGAAAGAUGUCGGUGGCGGCUGGGCUGAGACUGCUGAUGUUAGCAGCAGUUUCUGUUUGGUUGUGGCAGCUAUGGUGUGGCCGGUUUAGGUAUUGGUUUGGAGCAACUGCUGGUGCGUUUUUUGGAUGGUUGUUGUUGUUGGAAUUGAUGAUGGCCAGAGAAAGAGAUGGAAAAAGAAGAAGAAUAAGGGUCAAUUGGUGUACAUGGACCUCUCAUAUGGGUCAAUUGUUGUUCUUGUUCUUGAGAUUGAGAGGAAGAAGAAAUAAAAGAUUAAGAUUUGAGUUUUAUUUUUUAUUUUUUCUCUUUUUAUUUUUAUUUUUUAAUUUCAUUUUCAUUUAUUUAAUUUAAAAAAUGAUAAUCUACUUUUUUUUUUUAAAUUAAUUCAAUAAUUAUCACAAUUUUCAUAUGUAUCACAAUUUAAGUCGUAGCUAGUAGGAAGCAGAAGAUCGAAAAUGGUGGAAUCGAAGAAGACCGAAACGGUACAUUCACCACUCGUCACCUAUGCUUCUAUGAUAUCUCUUCUCACACUUGCUCCUCCUUUCGUCAAUCUACUGUAAGUCUACUUAGUUAAUUAAUUAAUAAUUUCAAACAAAUUAGUAGAUCUAAUUAAUAAUUGAAUUGAAGAUGGUAUACAAUGACGACGGCUAUGGAUGGAUCAAUUUUGAAGACAUUUGAUUAUUUGAACAAUAAUGGUUUACAAGGUUUUCUUAAUCUAUGGCCUAAACCAACACUUCUCUCUUUCCAAAUUAUUGUUGUUUAUGCUGCAUUUGAAGCUUUACUUCAGCUUCUUCUUCCUGGGGAAACUGUUUACGGUCCUAUUUCUCCCACCGGUAACCGCCCUUUCUAUAAGGUAUGUAUGUCUCUUUCUCUUUCUCUUUUUAUUACGGCGUUUACAUCUUACUUAUAAGACUGGGUUUUACUGUUUGGGACAAACUAUGGGGCAAGUGUGAGAAGAUAAGAACAAGACAAGACAAAUACCAAAAUAACUUUUGUCUAUCAAACAUCGUAUAAGACGAAAACGUUGUUUAAUACAAUACUAGUUUGUCUUGUGUUGUUCUGUUUUUAUUAUUUACCUUUUAAUAGAUAUAACACAACCUAUGUGUUACGAUUUAAUUAUUGGAGGCAUGUGUAAAAUAAUUUUACAUCGUCGAUGCGUACAAAUUAAAUACAUACAUACAUUUUUUCUUAUUAAUUUAUUGUAGUAACAAGUUGCGUCGUUGUUUGUAUUUCUUCAGGCAAAUGGUGUUGCUGCAUAUUUAGUUACUUUGGUUACUUACGUUGCACUUUGGCGGUGAGUUCUUAUGGUUCUGCGCUUAUUAAUUGAAAGGAGAAAAGUAACAAAGAAGAUAGGACUUCAUUCGCUACGAAGCAUUGACACUUAUACUAACAUUUGGACAUCUGUAAUAAUUUGAGAAAAUAAACUAAUUGAAUGUAUUGACAUCUGUCGGAGACACGUGUGGGACACUGGACACAAAUUCAUUCAAUAAGUUUCAGUGCUAGGAUUCAUUCAUUCAUUAUUGCCGAUUAAAUUGAUUUUUCAUUUCAUCUUGGAUGUUCUGUGAUGUUUUGUUUUUGAAAAUUCAAGUAGUAAUAAAUGAAUUGUUUGACCAAAAAUCAGCCAAUAUAUUCGUCCCACAAAGAAAAGAAAAUUGGCAUAGGAGAUCUGAAGAUAUAAUAUUGUUGUCUUCUAGGAAUAAGACUUUGUAUGAUCUUAGUUGUCAAAUAUGGCUGAUGUAUGUAUAUAUAUAUAUAUAUAUAUAUACAUAUGAUAGAACAAGAAGAAAAAAACAUUAGUCAUUGCUAGUCUUCUCAAUUAGUUAUCCUUUUGAAUUUCAAUUUGGAUGUUCUGUGUUGUUUAUGAAAAUUGGCAGAGGAGAUCUCACGACAUAAUAUUGAGUUGAGGUUCUCUCAGAAUUAAACUUGAUAUGAUGUCCUCCUAUGUAGCACUGACACUUCAAAUUGAAGUCGUGUAUGACAACGACACUGGUAAUUACAAACAGAUAUGAUCACUUCUAUUUGAUCAAAAUUUUCCCAGUGUGGCAGUGUCUAUGUGUUGGUGUUGGUACCGUAUCCGUGUCUGUGUCAAUGCUUCAUAGAUAAUGUAUGAUGGAUGGAUAUAUUUGGUAAAUCAAACAAAUAUCAUUAUUCAUUGCUAGUCUCCUCAAUUGGUUAUCCUUUUGAAUUUCAAGGCUUUAUGAAGAUAGGUUUAUAUGCUUUUAUAGGCUAAAAGCCUAAAACAUACUCUAAGAAACUAUGUUCAAAUUAUUAUGUGUUUUAUCUACAAGAAAGUUGUGUCACAUAAUAGGUUUUCCUUACAAAGCAAGAUGGUUUGCUUCUUUUACUUUUUCAAAAACAGUUGACAUGUAAUUUUUGCAUGUAUGUUUCAGGUUUGGGAUAUUCAACCCAACAAUCGUUUAUGAUCAUUUGGGGGAGAUAUAUUCCACACUCAGCUUUGGGAGCUUUAUCUUUUGUAUUUUCUUAUACAUAAAAGUGAGACUGUUGUGAAAUUGAAGAAAUGAUAAGGUAUUUGUUUCCUGUGCAAUUUACAUUGGAUUUUCUGACUCAAGUGUUAUAUUUGAUAGGGUCAUUUGGCACCAUCUUCUACUGAUUCUGGUUCAAGUGGGAACAUAAUCAUCGAUUUUUACUGGGUAAACUAAUCUCUGCUUCUUAAUUUGAUUAAACUGCUCAACAAUUUUUUUGUCUUAUCCAUUUAUUUGCAUUGAAAAUUGACAUUGAUUUAAGAAAGAGAAUGUGAACGAUGGAAAAAAUUAAAAUAAAACUGAGUGAUAGCAUGAAAAAUCUCUCUUGUCUGAUUACUGGCGUCAUGCCUUUAGAGGAUCAUUGAUGCAACAAACCUUUCUUUAAAAUUACCGCCUCUCAUUCUAAACCAAGUAGGCACCGAUAAUGCAUGGAAAAUUCUUUUAGAAUUACCCAUCCUUUUGUUUAAACUGGUUUGACUGAAAUUCCGUUCAUAAUGCCACUAUGUGAACUUUGAAAUUCUUAUUGUAGAAAUGAAUGUUUCAACGUUUUAUGGCUGUAAUUUUCGUUUUCACCAUAUUACAAGAAAUUGUUUGAUAAACUAAAAUUCAUCCCUUGAGAUGUUUUUUUUUUAUAUGAAUAACAGGCCUAGACAUGUGGAGUUUAAUUCCACCUUUUUUCCAUAAAUGACGGCCUUCUAUCUUUCUGCCAUUCUGCAGGGUAUGGAGCUCUAUCCACGCAUUGGAAAAUAUUUUGACAUAAAAGUUUUCACAAACUGCAGAUUUGGAAUGAUGUCGUGGGCUGUUCUGGCACUUACUUACUGCAUAAAGCAGGUUGAGUCUACGAGGUUUUAUUCUUUGUAUAAAUACUGAAGUCAAGCAUAAUGAUUGUGCUAUCCAGCAUUUAGUUGGAAAACACAGAUGAAUAAUCCUUUAAAUACCUAUUUGUAGUUAGAAACAGUUUGAACGUGGGGACCUUGGUGAUUAGGUGGCCAAUCAAGCUCCAUAGAAGCUGAGGCCAUCUACUUUUGAGUUUUUUUUGUCUUCUGAGAAGAUCUAAUUUAUGAUAGGGAUAUAAAUCAUAUUUAUAUGUGGUUGGACUUCCUUAGUUGUUUUGGAUAUAGUGGCCAGUUGGUAUUGACUUAUUACCUCCAUGAACAUGAUCUUACUAGUAUAUGAAUCAGGAACAUAAAUUUAUUUUGUAAUUUUGUUUUGUGAAAUUUCCAUCCUUUGGUUAACUCUCUAUUGUUCGUAUUCUUGUCUUAAUAGUAUGAAGAAAAUGGGAAGGUAGCUGACUCAAUGCUUGUAAAUACUACAUUAAUGCUGGUGUAUGUUACCAAGUUUUUCUGGUGGGAAGCUGGAUACUGGAACACAAUGGAUAUUGCACACGAUCGAGGUCUGCACAUAUGUUUUAUCUUUGUUUUUGUUGACAUACUUGCUCUUUCCUAUCGUUAUGCUGAUAUGUUCUUUUGGCGUCAUUAGUUUUCAUAGUUUAUUAAGUUUAAGAUCAAGAUCAUAUCUUCCAUAACAACUGUAUUUCAUUUAUCAUGUUUGGAUUAGUUUUCAUAUAUUAUUGAUAAGUUCAUUGUAUACAUUGUAUUUAAACCUCUUUAUCGUGUCCCUAAAUCUUGCAGCUGGAUUUUAUAUUUGUUGGGGCUGUUUGGUUUGGGUUCCAUCAGUGUAUACAUCUCCUGGAAUGUACCUUGUCAACCAUCCAGUGAAUCUUGGCACCCAGGUACCAUCCCUUUCCUGUUUGAGCUGUUGUUUUGUGGUAGUUAUUUAUACCGCAGAGUUUUCCUUAUUUCUAAUAUACUUUUCAAAUUUCAAUGUUUUCCACUUUUUUUUGAAAAUUAGCUUCCUUGUCUUUCAGCUAGUACUCUUUAUUUUAGUGGCUGGCAUUAUGUGCAUAUACAUCAAUUAUGAUUGUGACAGGCAAAGGCAAGAGUUUCGUAGGACAAAUGGAAAAAGCUUGGUCUGGGGAAAAGCUCCAUCAAAGAUAAAGAUGCGUAGAAUAUACUGGGUUACUAUUUUUCAUUUGAAAUGUACUUUCUAUUUUCUAUAUAAUGCAAGUCAGAUUGGGAAUCUUAUUGUCGUGAGACUUGCAUAAGGUAUUCAUAAUGAAAAUGUACUUGCAGAUAGAAGCCUCAUAUACCACUUCUUCCGGGGAAACAAAAAGAAGCCUUCUUUUAACCUCUGGAUGGUAUGUAUCCCUUAAAAACAUUCUAUUUUUGAAGCAUAUGUAAACAUACUUAAACACUAAGUUGUUGUAAUGAUUGAGAGAGCUUAAACUCACUAUUUUUUGGGGUGGAUUCCAGACAUUUGACUUAAAAUGUGUUACAAUCUGAUAUUUAUUGUUUGCCUCCAUAUAGAAAUAUUAUUGCUAACUAUAGGUUAUACAUCCUUUUAAAAAAGAAAACAAUAGUUUAUGCAUUUAAUCUCAUAAUAUAUAUUUGAUUUUUCUAGUUGGCCCAACAUUUUCUUAGAGAACAUGUCUUAUUUCUCAAAGUAACCAGUUCACUUUUUCCGUGCUACCUGCAGGUGGAGAUUAGCUCGUCAUUUUCAUUAUGUACCUGAAAUACUAGCUGCAUUCUUCUGGACAGUCCCAGCUCUUUUCAAUCACGUAAGAAGAGUGUUUAUUUCUCUGUACAGUUGAAAGUUGUAGAGAAUGUUAACCUUAACAACUUUUUUACUAUGCAGUUCUUGCCUUACUUAUACGUGAUAUUUCUUAUUAUCCUUCUUUUUGAUCGAGCAAAAAGGGAUGAUGAUCGAUGCAGAUCCAAGUAAGCAUUAUUUUCUAUCUAUUAGUGUUGCUUAUAGUUCUUGGACAUUUUAUUUUCAAUGUGCAGAGAGAACCACAGAUGCUCUUUUUGUCAUAUCAUUCUAUUCUUACAAACAGUUUGCUUUAUGAGUCAUGGCGGUGCAUGUUUGGAUCGGUUGUGAGUUUGUCAAAAUCAAGUUAGCACCAUGAUUUUGUUGAAGCUUUAAAAUGUAGUUUUUGCUAAACUCAUAAUGCCAACAGCCUAAAUUGUAAUAUAUACGCUUUAUUUUUCAUAUCUAUAGGAAACCAAUGGCCUACCGUUUCAACCAGAUUUGGCCUGUCUCUGAAAUAUACAAUUCAUAAUGCCACUGCAAUGCAAUAAAUAAUUGAAUGGAUAGAUUAUUGAAAACCAAAUUUAUUUAUCAUUGCAUCAACUGAACUUUUUAUUACCAAUGGAUUAGGAAAUUUGAUGGUUCUAGGUCAUUACAAUGUACAUGUAGUUAAAAAUUUCCAUUGCAUGCAGGUAUGGAAAGUACUGGAAACUCUAUUGCGACAGGGUAGCUUACAGAAUUAUUCCAGGAAUAUAUUGAUGAUGACGUGUCUGGAAUCCUAUCCUUCACUUGGUGCCAUGUUUACCUAUUUUUGUUUACUGCCUCUGCCACUUAAGAUGCAAUGGUAAACUUUAGCUGUAAGAAAUAAUUCAGUAAUUAUUGAACCUUAUUUUGUAAGUGAAUGUUAUGAUUUAAAAUGGUUCUCGAGCUGUUUAUCAAUUAUGCUUUAAAGAAAUAGUUUUGUUUCGCUGCCCAUAAAUAGAAAUCUCCCUCAUUUUUCUUGACAUAAUUAUCCGCCAUGGAGUCCUUGUAUAUAUGAGCUAGAAAUUCAGCUGGUUCUGCAUUAAUCCAAUCGGGAAUUAAGAACAAUUAUUGAGUAAACAUUAUUUUCACUAUUUUCACAGUGUGUUGCGAUUAAAACUAGUAGCUUGAGUUGAUCGCAUACCGCAGUUCCAAACACACAAUUAGACGGCAGUUACAGAACUUGGAGUGCAGGGCUAAUGGAUGACAUUUUAGUGGGGAAUUAUCCUGGGAGUUGUUGAGACUUUUGUAGUAUUUGACAUGCGAACAGAACAGAACAAAUGUUCUGUUUUUCUUGGUUUCAUCUUUUCAAAGGAACCAAAAUGUAUUUAUUUAUUUACCUUAUAUCCUGAUUUAUUUAAUUUUA
rnacentral:lncRNA from 1 species